rnacentral:lncRNA from 1 species
CUUCGGGAAAAGCAAUAAAACUCAGAGAAAAAUUGUAUGCUCUCAAAAGCCGCGCACGGCAACGCAGGCGCACGCGUACACACAGGCCUGUGGCCCUCAGUUCCAGCUCUGCGAUCCCAGUGCCUGUACCAGCCAGCCAGCCAAAUCGAAGAGGGCCGAUCAAGGAAAGCGGGAGUCGCGGGAUUUCCGGCGCCUAUUCGCGCCCCAUAAGAGCUAAUUCCGGCAAGCACGCGGUGACCAAUCAAUGCCCAGAGCGCUUCCUGACGCCACAGACCCAACUGGCAGCCUAUCUCGCUCCGCAGCCGUCCCCCUUGGAUGUAACCAUGUAGAAACGAAGGGGUGAAGAUGGAAAAGAGACGAAGAAAGUUGCAGCUUAAUACCGGUGUCCACUCAGACUCGAAUGCCACGGGAAGACGGAAUGGAGCGAAUGGUACAGAACCGGUUUCAUCCGGAAAGCCAGCCACAGUCGGGAGAAAGCUUCCGACUGGGAUCUGAAGGCCUGGCAUGGGGAAGGCCUCUGUCGUUGACUGCGAGUAAUACUGAAAAAGACAACAGGACAUUCCAUUCUGUUAGGAAAGGGGUCGUCUCCAAGGGGACACAAGGAUACCGUGCAGAUAAAAUAAAGACCACAGCUUUAUCACCAUCUUGUCAUCCCUGAAUAUGUUCCCUGGCAGAAUCCUCAGCCUGUCUAGCUAUGCCUCUCUCAACAAGUUCAAAUUUGUUUAUUCAUUCCGUCAUUCUUUCAUUCUCUCCACAGUUUGUGUCAAGCACAACUAUGUGUGUUAGGAAAGAGAAAAUCAACUUUGGCUUCAUGAAACAUAUUGUGUUGGGGUCAUACAGCCCCAAAAGAUAAGUAAUUUUCAGGUGUUCAUAACUGCUGUGAUUAACAUUAAACCGGGAUAGUGAAAUAGGGGGGAUGAUACCUAGAAAGAGUGGUCAGGGAAGUUCUUUCUAAGAUUGUGACAUUUGAGUAAAAGCCUAGAGGAGAUGCCUGUCUGGGAGAAAAGUAUCCCAGACAGAGAUAAGGCCAGUUGAGAAAGUGGGGCGUGGAACUCAGUGUGCUGCUGCUGCUGCUGCAAAAUCGCUUUAAUCGUGUCUGACUCUGUGCGACCCCACAGAUGGCAGCCUACCAGGCUCCUCUGUCCCUGGGAUUCUCCAGGCAAGAAUACUGGAGUGGGUUGCCAUUUCCUUCUCCAAUGCAUGCAUGCAUGCUAAGUCACUUCAGUCAUGUCCGACUCUGUGCGACCCCCAUGGACAGCAGCCCAGCAGACUCCUCUGUCCACGGGAUUCUCUAGGCAAGAAUACCGGAGUGGGUUGCCAUUUCCUUCUCCAGGAACUCAGUGUAGUGUGUAUGAAAUGAAUGAGGAGGCCUAUGUGACUGUCACAGCAUAAUGGAGGGAGAGCCAGGAGAUCUGAUGAGAGGGGUAAUGAGGGUCAGGUCCCAUAGGGCUUUCUGGCCAUAGGGAGGACUUUGACUUGAGCCACAGGAGGUUUCUUACCAGAGGAACCCCUAGGCUUCUCUCAGAGACCCAUAUCACACAAUGAUUUUUGAGGAGCUCUUGAUUUACCCCAGAAAAGCCACAGGCCAUCUGCAAUUGAACACGCCUUUCCUGGAAUCCCCUACACUCAAGGAGAAUCCCCCCUACUGCUCCCAGUGAACAUCCGUGUCAAUUGAAGAUACCCUCAGGAGAGACAAAGCCAAGGAACCUCUUGGUGUGAGGGAGGUCACACUGAGUCUUGCAAAGGCAAAGAGGGAUGAUAUAACAAGCACAGAGAUGGCAGAGAAAAAGACAAAUAUAGAGCAUUAGACAGGGAUGAAGAGUCUACUUCUGGCAGCAACCUGUCCCCACUUAGUUAGCACCCACCUACAGGCCCCCAGCCCUGCUACUGGAUGAUGUACAGUACAUUUUCUCUAUAGGAGAAUAAAAGCCCCUCCCCAGGGACUGUCUCUAGGGAA